rnacentral:sRNA from 1 species
CUUUAACCCCGAUAGCAGCGGCAUCCUUUGUUUUUUUUUUUGCAAAAAAAACAAAGAUAUAGCGGAUAGCGGGAACCCUG